CGCCGCACUACCGGGCGCGGCUGGCGGACCGGUGAAGCCGAAGGCGGCGGGCGACCCCGCCCCCGCCCCGCUGGCGGCCGGGGGAGGCGCCCUAGCCGCGCACACGCCCCCGCACCUGGGUGCCCGGCGGCCCGCGCAGUGACUCUUGGAGGCUGUGCCUUGCUGGAACAUUCUCUUCAGGGACUGCAGUUGUCCGGGACGAGGAUAUCCACACUAGAUUCAGCCAGUUCCAUCAGGAUAUGUCUGGGGGUGUUGGCAGUUUCUAACUAUUUCCAGCCACUCUGCGUGAGCACCCUCGUAUUCUAAUAGGUGUGUAGUGGCAUCUAAUGAUGGCUUUAUUUUGUGCAUCCCUGGUGACUAUGGAGUGGAACUUCUUUCAUAUGCUUAUUUGAGGCUGUCUUUGUAUAUGGCUGAAUGGAGAUCUACAUUAUUCUUAAUGACUGUGUAGUCCUACCACAUUGGAUCCAUCUUUUUAUUUCAUCAAGACCCUACCGGUGGACAUCUUGGUUGGCUUUGAUAUUUUGCUGCUCCAUGUAACGCCUCGGUAUACAACCUUGUAUGUGCAUUUCUGCGUAUUUGUCUAUUUCCAUCAGGUGGCCUUGGUGGGUAAAAGGAAGGCACGCUUUUAAAGCUUUUGAAACGCAUUGAUAAAUAGCUCCCCUGGAAACCUGCACCCAUUACAGCCCGCCUCAUUGACAGCAUGGAGGAAACAGUCCCUGCUUCUAAUUUCAGGCAGAAGCCUCCAGAGCGAUGACUUGCAAGGUUUGAGGAAGUCUUUCAAGUAUGACCCCAUGACUUCUGGCCAGAAGCCAGAAAUAAGGUCCGAUGGCCACAGGACUCCUUUGGCGUGCCCUUGGAAAAUCAUUAAGAUGGUCUGGGGAGGGGCGGCUGUUCGGGGAUGGUCUGGGAAGGAGAGGAGAAGCUGGGGUCAGGCUUGGGUGUGAGCCCAGCUAUAUUCACUCCUGACCUGUGACCUUGGGACAGCCACUUGACCUUUCUAACCACGGUUUUCUCAGAUGUGGAAUAAAACAAAUGAUAGUAACCCCAAGAAUGUGAGAGCCCUUUACAAAGUCAAAAACAUUCCACAAAGGUGUGUUGUGAGGAGCCUUUGUUUCCUCUCCAGAAAUGUGGGCGGCACACACUUCCUCCUGGGUUCCUACCUGAAUGACAACUGCCUGUUAAGGAAGGGCAGGACCUGGCGAGGGAGGGAGGAAGAGUGUGGUGGGCACAAUGAUGAUUCCCUCUCCCCCCCGCCCCCCCCCACCCAGAGGUGUCCACAUUCACAUCCAGGGAUUACUGUGAAUAUGUUAGGUUACAUGGCAAAGGGGAUUAAGGCAGCAGGUAGAAUUAAGAUUGCUACUCAGCUCACCUUAAAAUAGGGAGAUUAUCCCGGAUUAUCUAGGUGGGCUCAAUGUAAUCACAAGGGUCCCUCAAUGUGAAAGAGACUGAAGAAAAAAACAGACGGCAACAUGGGAAGGACCAUGUCAUGUGGUUGGCUUUGAAGAUGGAGGAAGGGGCCAUGAAGCAAGGAAUGCAGGAAGCUUCUAGAAGCUGGAAAAGAUAAGGAAAUGGAUUCUUUCCUAGAGCCUCCAGAAGAAUGCAGUCCUGGGAACACCUUGAUUUUUGCCCAGUGAGACCCAGUUCAGACUUCUAACCUCCAGAACCGUAAGAUAAAAAGGUUUAUGUUGUUUUAAGCUACUAAAUUUGUGGUAAGUUGUUACAGUAGCCAUAGGAAACUAAUCCAGGAGGACAGGUGGGUCCAUCGGGAGCAGAAUGCCUGGAGAAGGAUUGGAGUGCCCCCACUUCCCGAAUUCCUCAGUGGGGAGUGGCACCAGCAAAUGGGUAGCAGCAGGCUUCCUUGUGUCCUCUGGGGAACAUUGAACAAUGUUUCUUGCUUUGGUAUGGAUUAAUGGCAGGUGACAGAGGAAGGUAACCCCGUGCAGGGGGCCUUGAAAGCCAGGCUGUGGGUAUUCUGGAGGCAGUGUGGGGCCGUUGAGGGUUUCAGGCAGGGCAAGGAGACGAUGAGAACUUGCUUUUAGCAGUAGGGAUGGGGUGAAAGAGCACUGGGCUUGGAGUCAGAGAACUGGGUUCAAAUCCCAGCAUUGCCUCCCCAGGCAACGUUGGGGCAAGUUACUAAUGAUCUCUAGAUUUGGAUUCCAUUUCCUAAAAACACUGGGGCUAUUUCUGGAGUCCUUCCCAGUCACGGAACACAGCUGGCCCAGACCAGGCAGGGCCUCUUGGGAUCAAAGGGAAUUCUCUGGCCUAAUACCCAGAGGGUAGAGAAAGUUUAAAAUAACAAUAAUAACAAUAAUAAUAAUAAAGCAACAUGCAUUGAGCAGUAACCAUAGGUUAAGAAUUUCACGUAAUGAGGGUGCCUGGGUGGCUCAGUUGGUUGAGUGACUGCUUUCAGCUCAGGUCAUGAUCCCCAAAUCCUGGGAUCGAGUCCCACAUCGGGUUCCCAGCUCAGCGGGGAGCCUGCUUC